GUCCUUUUGAUGUUAAUUUAAGGUCUAACCUGCCCACUGAAAUUUUUUGAAGGGCCGCAGUAAUUUGACUGUGCAAAGGUAGCAUAAUCAUUAGUUUUUUAAUUGAAAGCUUGUAUGAAGGGUUGGACGAGGUAAAUUCUGUCUCUAUUUAAUUUUAUUUAGAAUUUAAUUUUUAAGUUAAAAAGCUUAAAUUUAUUUAAAAGACGAGAAGACCCUAUAGAUCUUUAUAUUAAAAAUAUUAAUUUUAAUUAAGAAUAUUUAAUUUUUUAAUAUUUAUAAUAUUUUAUUGGGGUAAUAAAAAGAUUAAAAUAAUUCUUUUUUUAUUUUAACAUUAAUUUAUGAUUAUAUGAUCCAAUUUUAUUGAUUAAAAGAUUAAGUUACCUUAGGGAUAACAGCGUAAUUUUUUUAGAGAGUUCAUAUCGAUAAAAAAGUUUGCGACCUCGAUGUUGGAUUAAAAAUUAUCUUAGGUGCAGAAGUUUAAGAUUUUGGUCUGUUCGACCAUUAAAUUUUU
rnacentral:rRNA from 1 species